rnacentral:lncRNA from 1 species
AUUUAAUUCAGCUUUUGGGGUGCACUUGUACUGCUUGAGUGUGAUGACAGAUAUUUGUAUGGAUUCAUCUAAACUCGGGAGGCUUCUUUUCAGGGGCUCUGCCACUAUAGGGUUUGCACAGAUGAUCCCAGCGUUCCUGGGGAAUUGUGGAAUCAAAGAUCUAUGCCCACUUCCUGUCUAACUAUAGAAUCUCACCUUCUCAUUGGCUCACAGGAACCAAUUUGAUCCAGCUCUUUAAAUACUCAAAAGGGAAAGGAGCCAAAAACAGGUUCAGAAUGCUUCUCACUGGUUUUGCUUUCCAAAUGGGCAAGGGACACACAUUUUUAACUAGUCUAUCCUAGCACCUCCCCAUACACUUACACACUUCCUUCAUGUCAGCCGUGGCAAUCACCAGAAAGGAAAGGCGACAGGCACUCAGAAACCCAUGUUGGGUUAUUUUUGUUCUUUGUAUCUGCCUCUUCCGUCUAUUCCAGACUUGUCAUACAAACGUGCCCAUGCGUAGGUAAAACUAACCUAUUCAUUUCACAGAUGGGAAAACCUCACUCUGAUGUUCCAACUGCAUCCUGUUUUGUUCUACAGAUUGCAAGGGACUGUGAUCUGGAGGAGCAUGGGGAAUGCUCAUUAAACAAGCCAAAGGCAUUUCAGCAAUUCUGAGAAAUUAUAGACAUUUCAGGAAUUUAUUUAAGAAGAGAUGUCCUUGCAAGAGUGGGAGCAGCACAUCCUUGGUGCCUCGUCCAGUGCUCUUCCCCAGGAUGGGUGUCACCACUGUGAUGGGUUCCUUCUUGAAUUCUCCCCUGUGCCUGGAGCGCAAGACCUAUUUGCAUAUAGCAUCCAAGGGGCCUGGAGUGUUGACCAAUGAUGACUCAGCACUUCUGCACUCACCGGGAGAAGAGCUCAAGUGAUAACACUAAGCCAGUCUCACUCAGGCCUGACCUGAUUCUGGCUCUGACUUUGGGGAUUAGAUCCUGGGGCUCUAACAGGACACAAAACAGAUGGAAAGAAAUCCCUGCUCUCCUGAAGUGUGGUUUCUGUUACAGCAAUGGAAGGGAAGGGGGGAAGUGGAUAAUAAAUGAAAUAACCAGACACA